GAGAGGCGGAGAAAGGAAGUCGGAAAACAGAUUUAAACCAACGUUUAAACCAAUGCAUCUGUUUGUCAGUCCUGUGAGAGAGCGCCGUUACCGGAGAGAUCUGGAAGCUAAAACAAACCGUGGAGCUGCUUUUUGUCCAACACGAGUGAGACUGGACGCUGAACACACCUGUGAAGGUUGACUGGUUGAGCUGCUGCAGCCUGGACAGAAACACCUGCUCUCACCUGACAAACCAAACAGGUGUCACCACUUCAUCCACGAUCACAGAGAGUCUUCGUACAGUGAAGAAGUUCUGUGAGACCAGGACAGAGGCCUCCAGGUAAU